ACUCAACAGGUGACCUACCCUGAUGUUCUCAGAUAGCAAAAACUCAACCAGGAAGCUCCUCACAGCACUGUUGGCAGGGUUUGCUUUCAAAGAAUUGAAAGUUUCUUGUGAGGACAGCCUCUAUGUUUUGCUGAAAAUAUAUUUUGCUGAAAAUAUAUUUUGCUAUGUUUUUUUUUUUUUCAUGAAAAAAAAUAAAUAAAUAAAAAUGGGCCACAAUACCACUACUGACUAUGAAAAGCAAACACAGGCUUUUACACGCGGUUUGCUGAUCACCAUGUUUCUCAUGGUUAGGGUGGCUUGAGAGACCCUCUGGCCAAAAAUACACACACACACUUGCUGUUCUGUUCAGGUCCAGCAGCCUUGCAAAGAGAGAUCCCAGAGGCUUUCAAAGAGAGAUGAGAUCUUCAGUGGAGCUUCCAGACAAAGCUGGUUCCAGUUUUUUUUUUUUUUUUUUUUUUUGAUGCAGAACAGUGAAGUCAUCCCAGUGUUUAACACCACUUGCCUAGAGAACCACAAAGGGAUGAAGCUUCUUCAGCAUGCUGUGUCUGACAUGCUGUGAGAAGCAGGGCACAGAGGCCCAUUUCCAGAGAUUUCAACAUCCAUGCUUUGCCCUUUGAUACCCUCGUGGCACACCUGUCUGUGCCCUUGCCCUGGAGCAACAACCGUCCUGAGAAGCUGUGGGGAUACACCUUUGCCAGGAGCCCGUUCAGACUUAUCUGCAGAAUGACUGAUUGGAGCCUCCCAGACACUGCAGGAGCUGAGAGCCCGGGUCUGUGAGAAACAGUGGCAGAUUCAGUACCUGAGUUGUUGGCUCCACUGUUCCUGAACCUAAGAACUGAGAGACAACCAGUGAUCAAUGCCUGAUUUUGCCCCUGAGCUGCCUGCCAUCUCCCGAAGCAUGGAGAGGUGUCACAUCAGUCCUGACAUCACGACUCGUGUCUGCUGCAGCUGGAGUGCACCAAGCAUCCCAUGUGUGCUUCACCUGCCUUGCACGGCUUUUGCACGGUGAGGAGCUGCUCCUGCCACAGGUGCAGGUAUUUCCUAUCACAGUCCAUUCCUACACCAAGCCUUUAGGUAGAUGCACAGCAUUUCGUAAAGGACCACAAGGUGUUUAGAAGCAUCUGAGCCUACAGGAAUGCUAACUAAUGUGCACUGGUGUUGACAGGUGGGCACGGUGCCAUUGCAGCAUCAACAGAAAGCAAAACACCUGUGUUUUCUAGACAAUCACCUCCCUCGUGAAUAUAUAACUCCAAAGCAAACACAUGC